GUCCUUAUGAAUUUAAUUUAAGGUUUAACCUGCCCACUGAAAUUAUUUGAAGGGCCGCAGUAAUUUGACUGUGCAAAGGUAGCAUAAUCAUUAGUUUUUUAAUUAAAAGCUUGUAUGAAGGGUUGGACGAGGUAAAUUCUGUCUCUAUUUAAUUUAAUAUAGAAUUUAAUUUUUAAGUUAAAAAGCUUAAAUUUUUUUAAAAGACGAGAAGACCCUAUAGAUCUUUAUAUUAUUAAUAUUAAUUUUAAUUAAGAAUAUUUUAUUUUUUAUUAUUUAUAAUAUUUUAUUGGGGUAAUAGAAAGAUUAAUUUAAUUCUUUUUUUUAUUUUUACAUUAAUAAAUGAUUAUAUGAUCCAAUUUUAUUGAUUAAAAGAUUAAGUUACCUUAGGGAUAACAGCGUAAUUUUUUUAGAGAGUUCAUAUCGAUAAGAAAGUUUGCGACCUCGAUGUUGGAUUAAAAAUUAUCUUAGGUGCAGAAGUUUAAGAUUUUGGUCUGUUCGACCAUUAAAUUUUUACAUGAUCUGAGUUCAGACCGGUGUAAGCCAGGUCGGUUUCUAUCUUUAAUAAAAUAAAAUAUUUUAGUACGAAAGGACCAAGUAUUUAAUAUAUUUAUAUUUAAUUUUUUGAAUAUUAUUAAUUACUUUGGCAGAAUAGUGUAAUGAAUUUAGAAUUCAUGAAUGUAAUUUUUUUUACAAGUAAUAUUGUAUUAUUUAGAUUUAUUAUUUUCUGUUAUUUGUAUAUUGUUAUUAGUAAUUUGUGUUUUAGUUGGGGUAGCUUUUUUAACUUUAUUAGAACGUAAAGUUUUAGGUUAUAUUCAGAUUCGUAAAGGUCCUAAU
rnacentral:rRNA from 1 species